rnacentral:rRNA from 1 species
CAAUAGCGUAUAUUAAAGCUGUUGCGGUUAAAAAGCUCGUAGUUGGAUUUCUGUCAAGGACAACUGGUCCGCCCUCCGGGUGAGCACAUAGUUUGGUCUUGGCAUCUUGCUGGAAGCUGGUGCUGCACUUGGCUGUGUGGCGCAGCGUCCAGCACUUUCACUUUGAGGAAAUUGGAGUGUUUCAAGCAGGCACAUGCCUUUGGACACAGUAGCAUGGAAUAAUUAGAUUGGGCUUUUGCUCCAAUUUGUCGGUUUCUGGAGCUGAGGUGAGAAUUAAUGGGGAUUGUUGGGGGCAUCCGAAUUUAGCCGUCAGAGGUGAAAUUCUUGGAUCUGCUAAAGACGGACAACUGCGAAAGCGUUUGCCCAGGAUGUUUUCAUUGA